AAGUAUCUUCAUUGGAAGAUCCUAAGAGGCAAAAUGUCAAACACUGCAAGCUCAGGUGACAACUCACUCCAAACUGCUGACAGACCAGGAAAAGGAGGACCUGGGGACAUCUAAGUCUGACUCCCAACAAUAUCAUCCUGCUCACACUGCAGUCCUUUGACACAGAGCAGCAAUUUGCACAGCAGAUCAAAAACUUUGUUCAGCU